GUACUUGCUUCGGCAGUAUAUAUACUAAAACUGGAACCAUACAAAGGAGAUAAGCAUGGUCCCUGCGCAAGGAUUUUUUUUUUCGAAGUUCAUACAGAGCAU
rnacentral:snRNA from 1 species